rnacentral:rRNA from 2 species
GUUGUUAAAGAAGGACGUAUCUAAGAGUAACUGCUUAGGUAGUGWCGGUAUUUAACCAGAAAGCCACGGCUAACUACGUGCCAGCAGCCGCGGUAAUACGUAGGUGGCAAGCGUUAUCCGGAUUUAUUGGGCGUAAAGCGAGCGCAGGCGGUUUUUUAAGUYYGAYGUGAAAGCCUUCGGCUUAACCGAAGAAGUGCAUCGGAAACUGGGAGACUUGAGUGCAGAAGAGGACAGUGGAACUCCAUGUGUAGCGGUGAAAUGCGUAGAUAUAUGGAAGAACACCAGUGGCGAAGGCGGCUGUCUGGUCUGUAACUGACGCUGAGGCUCGAAAGCAUGGGUAGCGAACAGGAUUAGAUACCCUGGUAGUCCAUGCCGUAAACGAUGAAUGCUAAGUGUUGGAGGGUUUCCGCCCUUCAGUGCUGCAGCUAACGCAUUAAGCAUUCCGCCUG